rnacentral:rRNA from 1 species
CACGUAGGGGGCAAGCGUUGUCCGGAUUUAUUGGGCGUAAAGAGCUCGUAGGCGGCUUAGUAAGUCGGGUGUGAAACCUCCAGGCUCCAACCUGGAGACGCCACCCGAUACUGCUGUGGCUAGAGUCCGGUAGGGGAGCGUGGAAUUCCUGGUGUAGCGGUGAAAUGCGCAGAUAUCAGGAGGAACACCAGUGGCGAAGGCGGCUCACUGGCCCGAUACUGACGCUGAGGCACGAAAGCGUGGGGAGCAAACAGG